AAAGGUUGCUUUACGACAAAAUUCUUAUUAAACGGUGAGCACCCACCGACGCUACUACACCGUUAUACCGUAAUCAGUUCUCCGAAAGAUUUGCGUUGUGUUAAACCUACUUUAAGGCAUUGUCAAUAUGGGCUUGAAAGUAAAUCAGCGUUGUUGCGGUUGCUCCCUACACACUGGCACCAAAGUUAGCUCCAAAACCGGAGAGAGAUUCGUGUCUAUAACAUUCUUUCUGUGAUUUCAAAUAUCAAAUUUAACUUCAUAUCUAAUAAAGAUGCAUACUGUCAGUCAUUCCAACUAAAUGACUGUAGCGCACAGUCAAUUUCCAUCCAUUAGAUCCUCAUGCUGUCAAAAGCCUAAAACUCAUGUUUGAAGCCCACACAUAGAGGAAUACAGAUGUAUCAAGAUAAGAUGUACAAACACGAAUGUUGUGAAUUUCGUUUUGGGGUCAAUGGAGUUGGCGCAGGUUGCCGUUACUGGCCUUUUGCGAUGUCCUGAUAUCAGUUUGGAAGAAGAGCUCUGGGGAAUCGUCACUCAUACUCGAGUCGUAUGUAAGGGCAAAGAAAAGGCGAAAGAAAUCAGAGUGAAUAUCUCCGAUAUACAAGAGCUAAAGUGCACCAUGUGUCACCAACUGCAUUCUUCGUCGCGCUACCAGUUUCAAUCAUGGCUGGGUCGACCACUGGUGUACCGAUGACUCUUGGGUGUGGCGGAUACCAAAGCACUACACUGCCGCAUUACUACACAACAUACAACACAACCAGUUGCUACACCAAUGCCUUAAAUACUACAUCACCAAGGAACCAGAGUGUUACACAACUACAAAUGCCGCGCCAGCUUAUUACACCGAGGCUCCCUAACACAACACCACCAAGGCAUCGGAGUACUACACCACUACAUAUCAUGGUCGUAUGAAAGGAGAGAAAAGGUGAAAGAAUUCAGCAGCCGAGUGAGCAUCUCCGUUACGGUAUAGGAACUGCCGUGCACUAUUUGUCAACAAGUUCAUUCUUCGUCGCAUUCCAAGUUUUAAAUAAAGUAAACUAUGGCGUCGUGUUGCUGUUGGGUGUUGUAUCGUUGAUGGUUGGUUCGGCCAUGGUGUACCGAUAUCUCCAAAGUAUGGGGUGUACCAACAACAACAUACGCAAAAACCGGUUACUACACUGAGACCUGCAAGUGCCACACCACCGAGGAUAACUUGUUACCCCACCGAAGCGCCCAAGUUCUGCACUACAACCUACGUCGCCCCAGCUUACACCACGAAGGCAGCGGAGUACUACACCACGAAGGCAGCGGAGUACUACACCACGAAGGCAGCGGAGUACUACACCACGAAGGCAGCGGAGUACUACACCACGAAGGCAGCGGAGUACUACACCACGAAGGCAGCGGAGUACUACACCACGAAGGCAGCGGAGUACUACACCACGAAGGCAGCGGAGUACUACACCACGAAGGCAGCGGAGUACUACACCACGAAGGCAGCGGAGUACUACACCACGAAGGCAGCGGAGUACUUACUACACCACGAAGGCAGCGGAGUACUUACUACACCACGAAGGCAGCGGAUUACUACACCACGAAGGCAGCGGAGUACUACACCACGAAGGCAGCGGAGUACUACACCACGAAGGCAGCGGAGUACUACACCACGAAGGCAGCGGAGUACUACACCACGAAGGCAGCGGAGUACUACACCACGAAGUCACCGUCACGAUACACCAUGGCUCCAGUUUACUUCACUACAACCCACGCUGCUCCAGAGUACUGCACUGAUGUUCCAAAGUACUACACCACCAAAGUCAUCCGAGUAUUACAUCACUACUUUCGUUAGUACCAAAUCCUACACCGAAGCUCCCAAAGCACUUCUUUGCCCCGAGUUACUACACCACUAACGCAGCCGAAUAACACCCCAAACUACGAUUCCGCAAUUUUCUGCAAGGAAAUUCCUUAUUAUUAGAGCCGAAAUUUCUACUCGGGGUUAUUUAUAUGUAUCGGUUAUUUUCAUGGUAAUUGGUCGCUGGGAAUCAAUUGUUGAUCUUAAAUGAGAAAAUAAAAGUUUUAAUACGGGUAA